GACGAACGCUGGCGGCGUGCCUAAUACAUGCAAGUAGAACGCUGAAGAGAGGAGCUUGCUCUUCUUGGAUGAGUUGCGAACGGGUGAGUAACGCGUAGGUAACCUGCCUGGUAGCGGGGGAUAACUAUUGGAAACGAUAGCUAAUACCGCUGAUAUUAAUUAUCGCAUGAUAAUUAAUUGAAAGAUACAAUUGCAUCACUACCAGAUGGACCUGCGUUGUAUUAGCUAGUUGGUGAGGUAACGGCUCACCAAGGCGACGAUACAUAGCCGACCUGAGAGGGUGAUCGGCCACACUGGGACUGAGACACGGCCCAGACUCCUACGGGAGGCAGCAGUAGGGAAUCUUCGGCAAUGGGGGGAACCCUGACCGAGCAACGCCGCGUGAGUGAAGAAGGUUUUCGGAUCGUAAAGCUCUGUUGUAAGAGAAGAACGGGUGUGAGAGUGGAAAGUUCACAACUGUGACGGUUUUUACC
rnacentral:rRNA from 1 species